CCCUGCAGCCCAAGACUGGUUGCCCACUGAAGCUAAGCAGGGUUGAGCCUGGUCAGUACCUGGAUGGGAGACCUCCUGGGAAAACUAGGUUGCUGUUGGAA
rnacentral:rRNA from 1 species